rnacentral:rRNA from 1 species
GACGAACGUUGGCGGCGUGCUUAAUACAUGCAAGUCCACUGAAGCAGUGGUAGCAAUAUCGCUGUGGAGGUGGCGCACGGGUGAGUAACACGUAGGUAAUCUGCCUUCAGGUCUGGCAUAACUCCGGGAAACCGGGGCUAAUAGCAGAUGAUGCAGCGGCUCGACAUCGAGACAGUUGUUAAAGCUAUGGCGCCUGAAGAUGAGCCUGCGUCUGAUUAGCUAGUUGGCGGGGUAACGGCCCACCAAGGCAACGAUCAGUAGCUGGUCUGAGAGGAUGAUCAGGCACACUGGAACUGAGACACGGUCCAGACUCCUACGGGAGGCAGCAGUAAGGAAUAUUGCUCAAUGGGAGAAAUCCUGAAGCAGCAACGCCGCGUGAGGGACGAAGGGCUUUUGCUUGUAAACCUCUGUAGGGAGAGAAAAAAAUCCCAAUCUUUGGGACAUGAUGGUAUCUCAAAAGUAAGCCCCGGCUAACUACGUG